rnacentral:tRNA from 1 species
GCUGGGGUCGCCUAGAGGCAUGGCGGCAGCCUGCUAAGCUGUUACCCGAAAGGGUGCGUGGGUUCGAAACCAAACCCAGGGG